rnacentral:rRNA from 1 species
CCUACGGGCGGCAGCAGUAGGGAAUCUUCCACAAUGGGCGAAGGCCUGAUGGAGCCACGCCGCGUGGGUGAAGAAUGUCUUCGGAUUGUACAACCCUGUUGGUAGAGAAGAAAGUGCGUGAGAGUAACUGUUCACGUUUCGACGGUAUCUAACCAGAAAGCCACGGCUCACUACGUGCCAGCAGCGGCGGGAAUACGCAGGUGGCAAGCGCUAUCCGGAUUUAUUGGGGGUAAAGGGAACGCAGGCGGUCUUUUAAGGCUGAUGUGAAAACCGUGGGCUUAACCGGCGUAGUGCAUUGGAAACUGGGAGACUUGAGUGCAGAAGAGGUGAGUGGAACGCCAUGUGUAGCGGUGAAAUGCGUAGAUAUAUGGAAGAACACCAGUGGCGAAAGCGGCUCUCUGGUCUGUAACUGACGCUGAGGUUCGAAAGCGUGGGUAGCAAACAGGAUUAGAUACCCUUGUAGUC